GACGAACUGUGCAAACGUUAUUCGGAAUCACUGGGCUUGAAGAGUGCGUAGGCGGUUUUGUAAGUAGGGUGUGAAAGCCCCCAGCUCAACUGGGGAAUUGCGUCCUAAACUGCAGGGCUGGAGUGAGGCAGGGGUGUGUGGAACUUCCAGUGGAGCGGUGAAAUGUGUUGAUAUUGGAAGGAACGCCGGUGGCGAAAGCGACACACUGGGCCUUGUCUGACGCUGAGGCACGAAAGCCAGGGGAGCAAACGGGGAUUAG
rnacentral:rRNA from 1 species